UACGUAGGGUGCGAGCGUUGUCCGGAAUUAUUGGGCGUAAAGGGCUCGUAGGCGGUUUGUCGCGUCGGGAGUGAAAACCUUGGGCUUAACUCAGGGCUUGCUUUCGAUACGGGCAGACUAGAGGUAUGCAGGGGAGAACGGAAUUCCUGGUGUAGCGGUGAAAUGCGCAGAUAUCAGGAGGAAUACCGGUGGCGAAGGCGGUUCUCUGGGCAUGAUCUGACGCUGAGGAGCGAAAAGUGUGGGGAGCGAACAGG
rnacentral:rRNA from 1 species